GACGAACGCUGGCGGCGCGCUUAACACAUGCAAGUCGAACGGAAAGGCCUGCUUUCCCUUGUGGAUUGCGGGUACUCGAGUGGCGAACGGGUGAGUAACACGUGAGUGAUCUGCCCCCAACUUGGGUAUAAGCCUGGGAAACUGGGUCUAAUUCCCGAUAGGACUGCAGGGUGGUGCCUGUGGUGGAAAACGAUUUUCUAGUGGUUGGGGAUGAGCUCGCGGCCUAUCAGCUUGUUGGUGGGGUAAUGGCCUACCAAGGCGGCGACGGGUAGCCGGCCUGGGAGGGUGGACGGCCACAUUGGGACUGAGAUACGGCCCAGACUCCGACGGGAGGCAGCAGUGGGGAAUAUUGCACGAUGGGCGGAAGCCUGAUGCAGCGACGCCGCGUGGGGGAUGACGGCCUUCGGGUUGUAAACUCCUUUCGACCGCGAGGAAGCCACCUGGUUGGAAGGGUGGUGACGGUAGUGGUAGAAGAAGCACCGGCUAACUACGUG
rnacentral:rRNA from 1 species